UGAGCAAGCCACUGUGAGCCAUGGUGCUGCUUCUGUCCCUUGGGUGUCCCCCAAAACAGGCACAGCCUGGGAUGGGGCACAAGGUGGGGUGCUGGGGCUUGCAGCUCAAGCUGAUCUUGUCCCAAGACCCUCAAGUUCACUUUUUUUUUUUUUUUUUUGUGAAAAGACAUGGUCGCCUCAGGAUCCAGAUCCUGAGCUGGGAUGGGAAACUCGCAUUAAAUUGCGAGGAUGAAAGGAAGCGUUUUAUGCCAGUUAUUCAUUAGAAGUGUUGUAUCACUGCUGUGCUGCAGAGGAGGCACAAAGCCCCAGCUGUAGGUGAUCAUUAAAUAUCCCUCUUCAGUUUUACAGCUUCUCCAUUUGGGCUAUGUUUUGCCUAAAAAACACAUACAUGCACAUCAAGUUUUGACUCUAAACUUUCCCCACCAAUGCUCAUCUUCCACCAUGUGUGAAUGCAGAGUUUCUUCCCCAAAACGUCCUGCAAUGGUUUGGGGUUUGAAGCAUGUCUUUGAGACUGCAAAUGCCAUUUGAAGGCAACAUGACAGAGCACCGCACUAGUGAGAGAAGCCACUGGGCAGAAGAUGCUUGCAGAAAAAAA